rnacentral:rRNA from 1 species
GAUGAACGCUGGCGGCGUGCCUAAUACAUGCAAGUCGAGCGAACGGACGAGAAGCUUGCUUCUCUGAUGUUAGCGGCGGACGGGUGAGUAACACGUGGAUAACCUACCUAUAAGACUGGGAUCACUUCGGGAAACCGGAGCUAAUACCGGAUAAUAUUUUGAACCGCAUGGUUCAAAAGUGAAAGACGGUCUUGCUGUCACUUAUCGAUGGAUCCGCGCUGCAUUAGCUAGUUGGUAAGGUAACGGCUUACCAAGGCAACGAUGCCUAGCCGACCUGAGAGGGUGAUCGGCCACACUGGAACUGAGACACGGUCCAGACUCCUACGGGAGGCAGCAGUAGGGAAUCGUCCGCAAUGGGCGAAAGCCUGACGGAGCAACGCCGCGUGAGUGAUGAAGGUCUUCGGAUCGUAAAACUCUGUUAUUAGGGAAGAACAUAUGUGUAAGUAACUGUGCACAUCUUGACGGUACCUAAUCAGAAAGCCACGGCUAACUACGUG